GAUGAACGCUGGCGGCGUGCCUAAUACAUGCAAGUCGAGCGAACGGACGAGAAGCUUGCUUCUCUGAUGUUAGCGGCGGACGGGUGAGUAACACGUGGAUAACCUACCUAUAAGACUGGGAUAACUUCGGGAAACCGGAGCUAAUACCGGAUAAUAUUUUGAACCGCAUGGUUCAAAAGUGAAAGACGGUCUUGCUGUCACUUAUAGAUGGAUCCGCGCUGCAUUAGCUAGUUGGUAAGGUAACGGCUUACCAAGGCAACGAUGCAUAGCCGACCUGAGAGGGUGAUCCGCCCCACUGGAACUGAGACACGGUCCAGACUCCUACGGGAGGCAGCAGUAGGGAAUCUUCCGCAAUGGGCGAAAGCCUGACGGAGCAACGCCGCGUGAGUGAUGAAGGUCUUCGGAUCGUAAAACUCUGUUAUUAGGGAAGAACAUAUGUGUAAGUAACUGUGCACAUCUUGACGGUACCUAAUCAGAAAGCCACGGCUAACUACGUG
rnacentral:rRNA from 1 species